UCUGAAGUAACUUUACCACACCGAGUGGUAAUGGCAUGGCAUUGACUAUUAUUUCUGCAAUUUACUAUUGUAUUGCUCGAAAGAGUGCUAGGUUAUCUCUAAUUCACUGUGGCUGACAUCUGACCAAACUGUUGUUCUAACUGCUUGAUUAUUGUAGUACGUGACUCAAAUUUUUGGUUUGAUCCAGACAGAUCAGCUUUGAUAUCC
rnacentral:lncRNA from 1 species